GAUGAAGAACGCAGCGAAAUGCGAUGAGUAAUGUGAAUUGCAGAAUUCAGUGAAUCAUCGAAUCUUUGAACGCACAUUGCGCCCGCCAGUAUUCUGGCGGGCAUGCCUGUUCGAGCGUCAUUUCAACCAUCAAGCCCCCGGCUUGUGUUGGGGACCUGCGGCUGCCGCAGGCCCUGAAAAGCAGUGGCGGGCUCGCUGUCACACCGAGCGUAGUAGAUUUCAUCUCGCUCAGGGCGUGCUGCGGGUUCCGGCCGUUAAACCACCUUCAUAACCCAAGGUUGACCUCGGAUCAGGUAGGAAGACCCGCUGAACUUAAGCAUAUCAAUAAGCGGAGGA
rnacentral:misc_RNA from 1 species